UCCGUAGGUGAACCUGCGGAGGGAUCAUUACUGAGUUUACGCUCUACAACCCUUUGUGAACAUACCUAUAACUGUUGCUUCGGCGGGUAGGGUCUCCGCGACCCUCCCGGCCUCCCGCCCCCGGGCGGGUCGGCGCCCGCCGGAGGAUAACCAAACUCUGAUUUAACGACGUUUCUUCUGAGUGGUACAAGCAAAUAAUCAAAACUUUUAACAACGGAUCUCUUGGUUCUGGCAUCGAUGGAGAACGCAGCGAAAUGCGAUAAGUAAUGUGAAUUGCAGAAUUCAGUGAAUCAUCGAAUCUUUGAACGCACAUUGCGCCCGCCAGCAUUCUGGCGGGCAUGCCUGUUCGAGCGUCAUUUCAACCCUCAAGCUCUGCUUGGUGUUGGGGCCCUACAGCUGAUGUAGGCCCUCAAAGGUAGUGGCGGACCCUCCCGGAGCCUCCUUUGCGUAGUAACUUUACGUCUCGCACUGGGAUCCGGAGGGACUCUUGCCGUAAAACCCCCCAAUUUUCCAAAGGUUGACCUCGGAUCAGGUAGGAAUACCCGCUGAACUUAAGCAUAUCAAUAAGCGGAGGA
rnacentral:rRNA from 1 species